GGAGCUUGCUCCUCUGACGUUAGCGGCGGACGGGUGAGUAACACGUGGAUAACCUACCUAUAAGACUGGGAUAACUUCGGGAAACCGGAGCUAAUACCGGAUAAUAUAUUGAACCGCAUGGUUCAAUAGUGAAAGACGGUUUUGCUGUCACUUAUAGAUGGAUCCGCGCCGCAUUAGCUAGUUGGUAAGGUAACGGCUUACCAAGGCGACGAUGCGUAGCCGACCUGAGAGGGUGAUCGGCCACACUGGAACUGAGACACGGUCCAGACUCCUACGGGAGGCAGCAGUAGGGAAUCUUCCGCAAUGGGCGAAAGCCUGACGGAGCAACGCCGCGUGAGUGAUGAAGGUCUUCGGAUCGUAAAACUCUGUUAUUAGGGAAGAACAAAUGUGUAAGUAACUAUGCACGUCUUGACGGUACCUAAUCAGAAAGCCACGGCUAACUACGUGCCAGCAGCCGCGGUAAUACGUAGGUGGCAAGCGUUAUCCGGAAUUAUUGGGCGUAAAGCGCGCGUAGGCGGUUUUUUAAGUCUGAUGUGAAAGCCCACGGCUCAACCGUGGAGGGUCAUUGGAAACUGGAAAACUUGAGUGCAGAAGAGGAAAGUGGAAUUCCAUGUGUAGCGGUGAAAUGCGCAGAGAUAUGGAGGAACACCAGUGGCGAAGGCGACUUUCUGGUCUGUAACUGACGCUGAUGUGCGAAAGCGUGGGGAUCAAACAGGAUUAGAUA
rnacentral:rRNA from 1 species